AGAGUUUGAUUCUGGCUCAGGAUGAACGCUGGCGGCGUGCUUAACACAUGCAAGUCGAACGAGGUCCAACCUUCGGGUGAAGACCGAGUGGCGAACGGGUGAGUAACACGUGGGGAACCUGCCCUUCUCUCUGGGAUAACCUCGGGAAACCGAAGCUAAUACCGGAUACUCCUUGCGGACCGCAUGGUCUGCUCGGGAAAGCUCCGGCGGAGAAGGAUGGCCCCGCGGCCCAUUAGCUUGUUGGUGGGGUAACGGCCCACCAAGGCGACGAUGGGUAGCCGAGCUGAGAGGCUGAUCGGCCACACUGGGACUGAGACACGGCCCAGACUCCUACGGGAGGCAGCAGUGGGGAAUCUUGCGCAAUGGGCGAAAGCCUGACGCAGAAACGCCGCGUGCGGGAUGAAGGCUCUCGGGUCGUAAACCGCUUUCAGCAGGGAUGAAAAUGACAGUACCUGCAGAAGAAGCCCCGGCUAAAUACGUGCCAGCAGCCGCGGUAAUACGUAUGGGGCAAGCGUUAUCCGGAUUCAUUGGGCGUAAAGCGCGCGUAGGCGGCUUGUUAAGUCAGGCGUGAAAUCCGGGGGCUCAACCCGCGGCUUGCGUCUGAAACUGGCAGGCUUGAGUCUGGUAGAGGAAAGUGGAAUUCCUGGUGUAGCGGUGAAAUGCGCAGAUAUCAGGAGGAACACCAGUGGCGAAGGCGGCUUUCUGGGCCACGACUGACGCUAAGGCGCGAAAGCUAGGGGAGCGAACAGGAUUAGAUACCCUGGUAGUC
rnacentral:rRNA from 1 species